AUACGGAGGGUGCAAGCGUUACUCGGAAUCACUGGGCGUAAAGCGCGCGCAGGCGGCUAUUUAAGUUGGAUGUGAAAGCCUACUGCUCAACCGUAGAACUGCAUCCAAAACUAUUUAGCUAGAGUGUGGGAGAGGAAGAUGGAAUUAGUUGUGUAGGGGUAAAAUCCGUAGAGAUAACUAGGAAUACCAAAAGCGAAGGCAAUCUUCUGGAACACUACUGACGCUGAGGCGCGAAAGCGUGGGGAGCAAACGGGAUUAGAUACCCUAGUAGUCC
rnacentral:rRNA from 1 species